GGGAUUGUGGCUCAGUGGUAGAGCGCUUGCCUCACACGUGUGAGGCACUGAGUUCAAUCCUUAGCACCA
rnacentral:tRNA from 1 species